GGAGAGACGGGGACGAGACAGAGCAUGGCAAGGGAAAAAGAAAAUGGACUUAUUUGCUUUGCCCUUUCCCUGCACUGCCUCUUCCCUGGCUCUCC
rnacentral:pre_miRNA from 1 species